UAGAUGUGCUCUAUUUUAACCUUUCUCAUAGA
rnacentral:piRNA from 1 species